UCCUUCUUAGCUCAGUUGGUAGAGCGCGUCACUAGUAGUGUGCAAUAAAUGACGAGGUCAGUCGUUCAAGUCGGCUAGAAGGAA